CUCGAGAGCGAACGCUGGCGGCAGGGCCUAACACAUGCAAGUCGAACGGAUCCUUCGGGAUUAGUGGCGGACGGGUGAGUACACGUGGACGUGCCUUUUGGUUCGGAACAACUCAGGGAAACUUGAGCUAAUACCGAAUGUGCCCUUCGGGGGAAAGAUUUAUCGGCCAUUAGGAGCGGCCCGCGUCUGAUUAGCUAGUUGGUGGGGUAAAGGCUCACCAAGGCUACGAUCAGUAGCUGGUCUGAGAGGAUGAUCAGCCACAUUGGGACUGAGACACGGCCCAAACUCCUACGGGAGGCAGCAGUGGGGAAUCUUGCGCAAUGGGCGAAAGCCUGACGCAGCCAUGCCGCGUGAAUGAUGAAGGUCUUAGGAUUGUAAAAUUCUUUCACCGGGGACGAUAAUGACGGUACCCGGAGAAGAAGCCCCGGCUAACUUCGUGC
rnacentral:rRNA from 1 species